AGCAGUCGCCGCGGGAAUACGUAGGGUGCAAGCGUUAAUCGGAAUUACUGGGCGUAAAGCGUGCGCAGGCGGUUAUAUAAGACAGAUGUGAAAUCCCCGGGCUCAACCUGGGAACUGCAUUUGUGACUGUAUAGCUAGAGUACGGCAGAGGGGGAUGGAAUUCCGCGUGUAGCAGUGAAAUGCGUAGAUAUGCGGAGGAACACCGAUGGCGAAGGCAAUCCCCUGGGCCUGUACUGACGCUCAUGCACGAAAGCGUGGGGAGCAAACAGGAUUAGAUACCCCGGUAGUCCCUGUCUCUUAUAC
rnacentral:rRNA from 1 species